GGACUACACGGGUAUCUAAUCCUGUUUGCUCCCCACGCUUUCGAGCCUCAACGUCAGUUACAGUCCAGUAAGCCGCCUUCGCCACUGGUGUUCCUCCUAAUAUCUACGCAUUUCACCGCUACACUAGGAAUUCCGCUUACCUCUCCUGCACUCCAGCUGCACAGUUUCCAAAGCAGUUCCAUGGUUAAGCCAUGGGAUUUCACUCCAGACUUGCGCUGCCGUCUACGCUCCCUUUACACCCAGUAAAUCCGGAUAACGCUUGCCCCCUACGUAUUACCGCGGCGGCUGGCACU
rnacentral:misc_RNA from 1 species